UUUAUGACAGGGAAAAUAAUUUUCUUAUUGUCACCAUAGUGGGAAUGCCUUUAAUAUUUCAAAUUAAGUGAAAUAACACUCCAUACUGAUAUAACUAUAUUUCUCUAGGAAACACUAAUGUCCAUCCAUUAGGUUUUCCCAGUUUUACCGAUAUAAUUGAUUUAUAAACAUUAUAUUAGUUUAAGAUAUGCAACUUAAUUAUUAUGUAUGUGUAUCAAGAUGAUUACCACAAUAAGUUUAGUUAACAUUGGUUAUUUUUUAUUGAUUUUUUAAAUAAAUAAUUUUUGAAUUAUGCCAGUGUACAUUUUAGCACCUAUUAAGAUGAUCAUAUAAGUUUUUCCUUGGACUUACUAAUAUGACUAUUCAUAUAAAUCUGGUAUUGAAACAUUUUUAUAUUUCUUGUGUUAACAUCACUUGAUCAUGGUGUAGUGUUCUUUUAACAUGUUGCUGCAUUCUGUGUCCUCAUAUUUUAUGUGGAGAUUUAUUUAUUUAUUUAUUUAUUUAUUUAUUGUAACUGAUGUUGAUGUAUAAUUUUAUUUUACAUGAUAGCUCUGAAAUAACUUAUGCUCUCUUCUUUAAAUCUAAUUUGAAAAAAAAAUCCUUUUAUUUUGUAUUCUAAUAAUUUAAAUACUAUUAUUAGUAUUAUCUACUUUAUAAGUCUGAUAGAAGUCUCCCAUGAAAACUUCUGAGCCUAUUGCUUUUACGAUUGAGAGGGUAUUCUUUGCCAGAUUCGUCUAUUUUUUUUUAGUUUUUAUUAAAGUAUAAUUGAUUUACACUGUUGUGCCAAUCUCUGCUAUACAGAAAAGUGACCCCCCCACACUCACACAUUGCCUUUCUUAUAUUAUCUUUCAUCAUGGUCUAUCCCAAGAGACUAGAAAUAGCUCCUUGUGCUAUAUAGUAGGACCUCAUUGCUUAUCCAUUUUAAAUGUAAUAGUUUGCAUCUACUAACCCCAAACACCCAAUCCCUCCUACUCCCUCUGCUCCCCGCCUUGGUAACCACAAGUCUGUUCUCUAUGUCUGUGAGUCUGUUUCUGUUUUGUAAAUGGUUCAUUUGUGCCAUAUUUUAGAUUCCACAUAGACAUGAUAUCAUAUGGUAUUUGCCUUUCUCUUUCUGACUUGUUUCAUAAGUAUGAGAAUCUCUAUUUGUAUCCCUGUUGCUGCAAUAAUUGCAUCUAUUUUGUCCACUUAUAUUUUGAAUCUUGCUUUAAUGAGUUGAUAAAUUAUGUUUUCUUAGACUAGCACUCAUAUUAUACAGCUUUAUUGCAUGAAGGUUCUGAUUUUAAGUAUAAGCAUUAAAAAUAAAAACAAACAAAAAGAAACUGUGAUUUAAAUUUGCACUUCUUUUUUUGACACAAAGCUAAAACCAAUGUGGGUGUUUCACAGUCUGACUGUAUUAACUAAUUUUCUCUAAUUACAUUUUUUUAAUUUUGAGACAUUUCUUUAUUAUAUAUGUGUAAUAUUUAACAGGUUAAAAUAAUGUCUGUAAUAUUUGUUCUGUCUUGCUGUUUAGGCUUUAUUAUUCAGGGACUUGAAUUGUAUAUAUUGAAUCUCCUUAGCUGAUAUUCUACGCAUCUUAUUUUCUCUCUAAACCAUUUUUUUCUUUAUUUCUGCUUACUUUUACUUUUAUUUUUCUGCUGUAAUUUUUUUUCAAAUUUACCACCAAAUAUAAUCUCAUUUUCUCCUCCAAGUUAAUCUUUAAUCUAUCAUAAUUUUUAAGAUUUUUUGUCUUUUUAUUUAUUUAGCUAUUUAUUUAUUUAGGGCCUAUUGCAUAUGGAAGUACCCAGGUUAGGGUUUGAAUUAGAGCUGCAGCUGCCAGCCUUUGCCACAACUAUAGCAGUGCCGAAUCCAAGCUGCAUCUGUAAUCUGUUCCACAACUCAUGGCAAUGCCAGAUCAUUAACCUACUGAACGAGGCCAAGGAUUGAACCCCCCUCCUCAUGGAUACAAGUUGGGUUCAUUACUGAUGAGCCAUGGUGGGAAUUCCUAUCCUAAUUUUUAAAUCCUCUAUUUCUUUCCUAAAUUUGCCAGCUCAUAUUUAUAUAAUAAUCGUAUUCUGUGUUUACGCUCUCUCACAAUUUUUUACAUCCAUGCUUUGUGGUUUUUCCUUCCGCAAGUAUCAUUAAUUCAUUUUUAAUUCUUAUUUUCUUCUGUUUCAAAGCAAUAGUUCUCACUUGUGAAUCAGUAGAUUUUGUUGCUACUUUGAAUUUUAUUUCUUCUUAUAAUAUCCUGAACUCAACUAGGUUUAAGAGGGCUGCUUCUCCACAUUCCCAUCUCUUAUUCCAAACAGAGAGUAUCAUUUUUGAACUUUGAGAGAGCCUUUUACUUUCAAGAAGGGCAUUUUUGUUGGCAUCUUGGAAGUUUUUCUGCUUUUGGGCCCUUUGGUAUGUCUCUUGUGGCUUCUACUUAUUCCCAGCUACUUAUACAAGCCAUUACUUUUAUUUUUUAACAUGAAGAUUUUAACUCUGACAUAAUGUUUCUAAAUAUGGAGUUUGCAGAGUUUGUGUGUAUUGUAUUCUUUGUUAAUGCUUUAUGAUUACAGGAAAAAUGAGAGGAAAAGUUCUGAAAUAUGCAACAGUAUUCAUACCAAGAUUUCUUUCUCUUAAUUUUGAGUUCAUGUGUAAUCUCUAACUCUCAGAAGCUGUCAUUUAUUAGGACCUCUCAUUAUUUCACUUGUGCUCAUUUUCUCUGGCUGCAGGAUUUCUUAUAUGUGCUAAAAGUUUCCUUUAUGCCCCUAACACUCAGGUUGAACUCUUCUCAUUCAUAUGACCCCUUUUCCUGGGACCCAUAGUUUUCUUCAGGUCAUCUGCUUGCCAGGAUCCACCACUAUUGUCCUUCGCUGGAUACUCCCAAGAUCUCAUCAGGCUCAGAGUAGACAAAGUCCUGUGCUAGCUCUGGACAUCAGGACCCUUGUCAGUGUUUGAGGCUUCACCAGUACCUCCCAUACAUAAUCUGUGUUAUGGCUGGGGUUAAAAGAGCACCAUAUGCAGUUAAGCUGCCAUCUCUCAUCCUUCUUCCCCAGUGUUGCCUAUGGAUAGGUUUUGUACAAAUUUCUAUGAUAUUGAAUAAUGAGGGAAAAAUCAAUUGGUACGAGGGUUUAACACACUUCUUUAUAUUUAUAAACUGCCAUGGGUAAAACUUUAAAACACCUCCCACAUUGCCACUUGCUGUAUUUCAGGGUCUUUGAAUUGAAUUGAAGGUGACAGUGUUUCAUUUCACAAGUUGCUUUUCAUUAAGAAAAAACAAAAAACAAAGUGAGAAGUCCUUGAAGUAGCCUCCACUGAUUGGCUAAUAGUUUCUGAUGCCCUGUAGGGUCCAAGUUUGAGCCUCUUGGAGAAUUCCCAUUUCUAUAGGCAAGCUGUCCUGCUUAAAGCAAGCAGUAGUCUGACUUCCAGGGAAAAUAUCUCAAUUCCAAAUCAUAGGCCAAGGGAGGUCAGUAAGAAAAAAGAGACUAAAUAAUUCACCAAAACAAAGAGGCAAGCCAGCAGCACUCAUUAGGAGUAGAAACAUGGAAUCUUUCAUUAAAAGUGUCAGAGAGAUAAGUGUCAAGGGAAGAGGUUUGAACAGGGAAGUUAUGCUAACUUAGCACAUAACGUCAGCACCUUUCAACACAAAUUAUUUCUCAAUUCUGUUCUUUAAUUAUUAUUUUCAUUACCUUUAUGUAAGCAUUUAUUUAUCUAUAUGCUUUUUAUUUUAUUUAUUAAUUUAUAAGGAUAACACCAGGUUCAACCCCUCCUUCUCCCUCAGUCCAAUAUGUGGCUGUUCUAUCUUCAAAGUAUUUCUGCAGAAACACUCUCUCCCCUUCUUGCUAUAACUUCCUUUUCAGUCCUUCCUUAUAUCUUCCGAUCAAUUGCCAUUGCUCCUUAGCUGGUGUCUUUGGAAGCCUUCAGUCUCUCCUUCAGAUCCAUCCCUUCUCACUACUUUCAGAAUAAUCUUUUCAUAUAAGAGUGACCUCCAAUUCUGAGUGUGGCACUGCUGCAGCAUCAUUCAUCUCCUUCAUUCUUGCACUUUCUGUGUUGUGUAUACAAGUUUAGAGCAAGCACCAAAAAGGUGAUAUUACUUGUGCUAUGUUUUCUGAGUAAGUCAAAGACAUGAAUUAAGGAUUUUUUUUUUUUCUAUCAGCUGGACCCAGACUGUACGCUGUUCAUUCCUGGGUACGUAUCUGUUUUCCUGCAAAUAAUGAAAACCCCCAAACUGUUAGUAUGUAUUAUGCAGUGAGGAUAGAAGAAUUCUCUACAACAUAAAACUAUUUUUAUACAAUUCUCAAAGUAGUCUGGAGAUUUCAAUGUUCAUUCAAAUAAAAUUGAAAGAAAAUGAAUAACAUUGAGACAACUGAGUACAAAAGAAUA
rnacentral:lncRNA from 1 species